rnacentral:rRNA from 1 species
UGGGGAAUAUUGGACAAUGGGCGCAAGCCUGAUCCAGCCAUGCCGCGUGAGUGAUGAAGGCCCUAGGGUUGUAAAGCUCUUUCACCGGUGAAGAUAAUGACGGUAACCGGAGAAGAAGCCCCGGCUAACUUCGUGCCAGCAGCCGCGGUAAUACGAAGGGGGCUAGCGUUGUUCGGAUUUACUGGGCGUAAAGCGCACGUAGGCGGACUAUUAAGUCAGGGGUGAAAUCCCGGGGCUCAACCCCGGAACUGCCUUUGAUACUGGUAGUCUUGAGUUCGAGAGAGGUGAGUGGAAUUCCGAGUGUAGAGGUGAAAUUCGUAGAUAUUCGGAGGAACACCAGUGGCGAAGGCGGCUCACUGGCUCGAUACUGACGCUGAGGUGCGAAAGCGUGGGGAGCAAACAGGA